UCCGUUAUGGUGUAGUGGCUAACAUUAUCGCCUCUCAUUCACGAGCGUUAAAACAUUGGCAAUACGUGCGCGAUAGCCCAGGGUUCGAUUCCCUGUAACGGAA